UUAGUGGCGGACGGGUGAGUAACGCGUGGAAAACCUGCCGUAUACUGGGGGAUAACACUUAGAAAUAGGUGCUAAUACCGCAUAAGCGCACAGCUUCGCAUGAAGCGGUGUGAAAAACUCUGGUGGUAUACAAUGGUUCCGCGUCUGAUUAGCUAGUUGGUGGGGUAAUGGCCUACCAAGGCAACGAUCAGUAGCCGGCCUGAGAGGGUGAACGGCCACAUUGGGACUGAGACACGGCCCAAACUCCUACGGAAGGCAGCAG
rnacentral:rRNA from 1 species